rnacentral:tRNA from 1 species
GCGCAGGUGGCAGAGUGGUCAAUUGCACCUGACUGUAAAUCAGGCGCCCUAGCGGCUACGCAGGUUCGAAUCCUGCCCUGCGCA